rnacentral:rRNA from 1 species
UGGUUGAAGUGUUAUUAUCUAAGAUUUUAUUUGUUUAUCAUAAUUAAUUUAAAAGGUAUUGGCGGUAUUUAGUUAAAUUCUGAGGAACUUGUUUAUUUAAAUUGAUAUUACCCAUUAAAUUUUAUCUGUGAUUUAACUUUAUGUAUUGCUGUUUAAUUUAUUAUUUAUUAUUAAAAAUAAAUUUAAUUAAUAUUUUAUGUAAAUAUUUCAAGUCAAAAUGUAGGUUUUCAUAGGGUUAAAUGAGUUACUUUUGUAAUGAGAUGCGAUACUAGAAGUUAAUUGAAAUAUUAAUGAAUUUUAAAGUAGGAUUAGGGAGUAAAAAUAAAAUAGUUGAGUUUUUUUGAUAUUAUUAUACUUAUAUGU